rnacentral:tRNA from 1 species
GCCCCCAUCGUCUAGGGGCCUAGGACACAGCCCUUUCAAGGCUGCGGCGGGGAUUCGAAUUCCCCUGGGGGCACCA